ACACCGGCCGCUCCGCGCCCCCCGGAGGCCCCCCGGAUCACGCUGCCCCCAGCGCCCCUCCCUCGUGCGGUUGCCAGCUGCGGUUGCGGGCCCUGGGCUACAAGCCCAUUGAAGCGAGGACAGGCCCAGUAGCGCUAGGCCCUUGCUACGUGUCUGGCCUGCUGAAGCAGCUACGGGCUGGGCUGCUCGCACGCAGGUCUCAGUAGGAAGGUUAUUCAGCACUCUUAACUCGUCAAUGCUCUCGGACAUAAGAGCAGAGGGAGAUGAAGACCAACAUUACAGGUGACAAGAGCAUAUAUGGCGAAUGUUUGUCUUUACCCAUUAUGGAUGGAACAUAUAAUAUAUAACCACGAAAGAACAACAAUCCCGAUAAAGAAAAAGAAGGUUAAUCUAA